GCUACUCUGGAGGCUGAGGCAGGAGAAUGACAUGAACCUAGGAGGCGGAGCUUGCAGUGAGCCGAGAUCAUGCCACUGCACUCCAGGCUGGGCAACAGAGUGAGACUCCAUCUCAAAAAAAGAAAAAAAAAAAGAUCUAAUUGAAUAUUUAAAUAGCAUUAAAAUGUUAGCAGUAGAAUGCUGUAUUAAAUAUCCUAAGUCGAAAAUGUUUUUAAUACACCUAAUCUACCAAACAUACCUUAGCCUAGCCUACCUUAAAAAGGCUGAGCAUACUUAAAUCAGCCUAUGGUUGAGUAAAAUAGUGCAAAACAAAGCCUAUUUUACAAUAAAGUGUUACGGUUGGGUGCAGUGGCUCACGCCUGUAAUCCCAACACUUUGGGAGGCCAAGGCAGGUGGAUCCUGAAGUGAGGAGUUCAAGACCAGUCUGGCCAACAUGGCCAAACCCUGUCUCUACUAAAAAUAAAAAAAAAAUUAGCUCAGUGUGGUGGUGAGUGCCUAUAAUCUCAGCUACUCAGGAGGCUGAGGCAGGAGAAUUGCUUGAACCCCGGAGGUGGAGGUUACAGUGAGCGGAAAUCAUGCCACUGCACUCCAGCCUGGCGAUGGUGUGAUACUGUCUCAAAUAAAGUGUUAAAUGUCUUGUGUACCACAUUGGUAACACAAGAAAAGGUCAGUCAAAAUUCAAAAUUUGAAGAACAUUGAAAUUGUAACAGCUUUAUACCAUGUAAAGUUGAAAAAUCAUAAGUCGAACAAUAAUUAAAUAAUCUGUACUUAUUGACUAAGAUGAUUUCCCCCUGAAGUUUAUGUACUAGUAAUAUUUUUCUAAACCUAGUAUUUGAAUACCAAGUUGAAGGUAUAUUCAACUGUAGAUGAAGUGUGUGUAUAGUUUCAUUUUAAGGGGAUUUUAGUAGAAUGAAAAUAAUGGGGUUGUCCUGUUGCUGUCAGGUUCCAUCAUAGUGAAUCUCAGUUUAAUUCAGUAAACUUUGUUUUCUCCAGAGUCUAAAAUAAUUCAGUGCUUGCUUCAGCCACACAUAUGUGAGAAUUGGAAUGAUACACAAAAGAUUAUCAUGGCCCCUGCACAAAGUUUGACACACAAAUCCAUGAAGCAUUCUAUACUUUCAAUAAAAACUAAAAUUUGGCCAGGCACAAUGGCUCACGCCUAUAAUCCCAACACUUUGGGAUGCCGAGGCAGGCGGAUCAAGAGGUCAGGAGUUCGAGACCAGCCUGACCAACAUGGUGAGACUCCAUCUCUACUAAAAAUACAGAAAUUAGCUGGGCAUGGUGGCAGGUGCCUGUAAUCCCAGCUACUCAGGAGGCUGAAUCACUUGAACCCAGGAGGCGGAGGUUGCAGUGAGACGAGAUCAUGCCCUUGCACUCGCCUGGGUGACAGAGUGAGACUCCAUCUCAAAAGAAAAAAAAAAUUGUAGUUAUUUAGCAAACUUGUUUAUGUCUGUAACCUGCCUACUGGUCAUAAGUUUCUUGAGAGAAGGAAUGGUCGUAUCCUUCAGUGCAGUACCUGGUGCUUGGCGCUAGAUGCUUGUUACAUGUUAGUAGAGAUAACUCCUAUGAAAGGAGGGUGAAGGUGUAAAAGUCAGAAGGCAUUCUUGAAAACAGCGAAGUAUUAGGCUGUAGAGUGGAGGAAUAAGAGGAAUUACAGUCCUGCCCCAUAAAUUCUUAUAAGUAUUCCCUUAGAGGGUAUGCCUCAUAAUCUCAUGGAACCCAGGAGAUAUCUAGUAUUGCUAAUUAAAACGACUUGCUUUAUUUGAUUGGAGAAUGCAUGUGCCAUUCUCCUUCAGCAUCCAUCAUAGAUAAAACCAACUCCAUCUAAAGGAGUACACAACUAAUAAGAGGAAUGAGGAAACCCAGAAUUUAAUGACUCAGCACAUCAGUUAGGAAAUACUUUUAAAAACUGCUGUUGCUUACUAAAUCUAAGAAACUCUUAAAAUUCUUCUGUAAUUCAGUUUUUUAAACUAUUAUUUUGAACUAAUUUCAUGACCAGGCACUGUGGCUCACACCUGUAAUCCCAGCACUUUGGGAGGCUGAGGCGGAUGGAUCACCCGAGGUCAGGAGUUCAAGACCAGCCUGGCUGACAUAGUGAAACCCCGUCUCUACUAAAAAUACAAAAAAAAAAUUAGCCGGGCAUGGUAGUGCGUGCCUGUAGUCCCAGCUAUUCAGGAGGCUGAGGCAGUAGAAUCGCUUGAACCCGGGAGGCAGAGGUUGUGGUGAGCCAAGAUCAUACCACUGCAUCCCAGCCUGGGCAACAGAGCAAGACUCCCAUCUCAAAAAAAAAAAAAAAUAGAAAUAAUUUCAAACUUACACAAAAGUUGCAAGAACAGUAUAGUUUCCAUAUACCCUUCACUCUGACAUUCCUUUAAUGAUAUUAUUUUAUCAAGUUUGCUUUUUUGUUUUGUUUUGUUUUGUUUUGUUUUGUUUUUUUGAAACAGAGCCUGUCUCUGUCACCCAGGCUGCAGUGCAGUGGUGCGAUCUCAGCUCACU
rnacentral:lncRNA from 10 species